ACAAGACAAAGAACCGAGGAACAUACACUCGCGUGACAUCUAUGGUGCCGUGACUCGGAUUUAACCUGGCUGAAACAACCUCUGCAUGGAAGAGGCCAAGCACAGCAGGAGCCCAACUCAGCAAAGCUCCCGUGCUAGAAGCAGAAGGCGAAGAAACCCAGCGCAGGGGAAGGCCCAUUGUGCUGGAAACCGGGACAGCGAAAAACGAACUCAGCUCACGCGGCCCAGUCUCAGAUUCCAGAAGACCUCUGGUUAAGCCAACUUUGGGACCCAACCAAGUUGAAAAAGAAGACAGAAGUGCCACCUGACUUCUGAGCACACCCAAAGCCUACCUCGAUAUACUCCGACAGAUUCUUCACAGGGAUGAGCUGUCCACUAGGACUGGUCAGAGAGAGGCCACCCACAGUUCCACUGACGUCAAAGUGACUUCGGGCUGGAAAGGGGCUCUUGGGGAAGCUCAUCAUCUGAAACCAAGAACAGAGAGCCAAGGCGCCCAAGGGCCAGAAGGCUCCCGAUAGUCCUCCAUGGAGCCAAGGGAGGGGGCAGCGGGAAGGGAGAAGGUCGCAGAGCUGGCGGCAGCAACGUGUACGGAGGAGCCUCGCCAACUCCAGGGCUGUAUUCUGUCCACAAGAUCUUCCCCAUCCUUGGUCGCCAUCCUGGAGGCUGCCUGCAUGGAGAUGUCAGGCUGCUGGGCCUCUGGCCUGUGGAUUGACUUGCAGGAGAUGCGCAGGUGGGAGGAGACAGCAGGAAGCUUUGUUGCAGGCGCCCUCCCUGCCAGGGUUACCAGUCUCAUCCUUCAAAAACCACCACUCCUGCCAAGGAGCCCCCUCCACACACAGCUGCCCCUCCAGGAUGCUGGUCACUUCAGGAUGAGCCCCUGGGGUCCUGUGUCCUCUCUCGUUUGUUUCUGAAAACUUGCCUCCAGUUUUCUCAACAGAGCCUUUCUUAAAAUCUCCUCCAUUGCCCAAUGAGAGCUUGACAUCCGUCUCUCACCAGGACCCCAGUGUUUCAUGAGAAGACCUGGUGUCAGGCUAUGUAGUCCAUGUGCUUAGGAUCAUAGGGCAUCCAAAAGGAAGUUCCCUUCCAAAGGGAAGCAUGUAAGUCAUGCUCAGGGUGAAUGAGAGCCAGGUGGAGUUGUGUGCAUGUGUGUUGGGGCCAGGGGACUAAGUGGGGAGAAGGGCUGGGGUGAGAAGGCUGGAGGAGGGCAGGGGAAGAGACAACCCGGGUUUGCUCUUGUCUUCACUACCUACUGGAAAUGUGGACCUGGGAACGCUGCUCACAUCCUCUGCAGUGUGCUCAGUGUGCAGUGUGAUGGUUGGAUGGCAUCACCGACUCGAUGGACAUGAAUUUGAGUAAGCUCUGGGAGUUGGUGAUGGACAGGGAAGCCUGGUGUGCUGCAGUGCAUGGGGUCGCAUAGAGUCAGACACAACUGUGCAACUGAACUGAACAGGAAGAGACAGCAGUGGUAGCCUCUAAAUUCCCUCCCACCCUAGAAACCUGUGGUUCCAUGAAGCUGAGCAGAGAAAGGUUGCUUCAUUUUAUGUCACUCACUGAAAGUACUGAAAGAGAGACAUGACAUCAACUUGGGAGAUACCAAAGACUUCCCCAUGGACCCCACUCCCCUCCCCAGAUGGCUGCAUGCAGACCCCAGGACCCCAGCAAAAGGACAGAGGGGUCCAUCGGGAGCACCUUCCGUCUGGUGUCCACUCUCGGCAGCUGCCCGGAGCCCGGCCCCUGGUCCAGUACGGAUGACACGGCCCUGGCCAGCUGGAAGAGCCGCUCAGAGCCACGCCCGCCCUGCAGAAUGGCAGUGACAUUGUCCCACACCACGGCCUGGAAUGCUUCCUCCUCCACACAGGCUCAGACCCAGUCACAGACAUGCAUUCCACAACUAUUUGAAGGACACCCAUGAUCUGACGAUAGCUCCCCUCCACCUUCACCUUGUCAAGGUGUACAGUUUACAUCAUUGUGGUGUUUAAUGCUAGAUACUGGGGAGCCCCCAGCAACAUUCCUGGAGCCUCGGUUUGGAUGAUGGUCCCAGUCUGACUAGAACAUUUUCAAGAGCUCUUGGGAGGGUCAUAAAAUGCUGAAGUUCAUUAGGAAGAGACAAGGACUCAGAUAAGCCUGCCAAGGACCAGCCACCCUCAUUCCAGCUUUCAGAGAGAGACAGGUGCCUGCUCUUGGAGAGGAAUGAGCCCAGGAGUGAGGGGUGAGCGCGGUCCUGAGCCGGUACCUGACUCCAGGCAGAAGCAGUACUCCAGGGGGCCCAGGGCAGUGGAGGAAUUGCAGAAGAUGGCGAAGCUCGUCAGGAUGGUCCCCUCCUCUGGGGCAAUGGUGCAGGUGGGCACCUCCAGGGGAGGCAGGGAGCUGACCACAUAGGUGUCCUCCCCAUAGGCACACCUGGUCACUGCUGGGGAGUGAAGACAAAAGAUGUGCUUAGGGGCUGUGGGUGUCACACAAACUCCACCAUGGCUCAUGAUCUCCUGGGAACUUGUUUAACAUGCAGAUUCCCAGGCCUUGCUCCAGAGCCUCUCUCUGGAGAUUCGGGGGUAAGGCUCAGAAAUCUGCAUAUCUUAACUACUCCAACCCUACCCCUCAUGCCUCAGGCCGGACAUUCCAGGGUCUCAGCAAAAUUGGACAGACAGAAUCCUAGUCCUGCCAUUUACUCUCCAUGUGACCUUGGCUUUGACCUUUUGAGACUCAGUUCCUCAUCUGUAAAAUGGAGCUGAUAACAAUAGCUUCCUCACAGGGCUUUAGUGAGGAGGAAGAAUAUUGGAAAACAAGACUUUCUCAAGAGAUCAAGCUUGGAAGGACCACAGUCAGGACCUAGAAAGAGGAAGAUCCUACCCCAAACCAAGGGCUCCCACAGCACCAUGAAGAGCCCCAGCUAACCUGCACCAACACCCCAAACCGCCUGUUAUAAUCACCUAGUUUUCAAAAACAGUGCAUGCCUGGAAGAGUUGUGCAUACAGAAUUUUAAUCAAUUUAAAUGAAUUCCCUGGCCCAGACUUAAUUCAGAAGGUUUGGGGUGAACCCAGGAAUGUGUAAUUUAAAAUAGUACCAGGUUAUCCUGGGCGAGUGGCCUAUGAGCCACUUUGAGAAAUACUGAAUCAAAGGAAUUCAUCUGAAGAGGAAUAAUUACCCCAUUAUUUAUCUUUCUGAGAGCCUACAUUCUGCUGUCCGGAGCUUGUUUUCAGUGAGAAGCGCUGAAUCACCUGGCAGGACGCACAGACUACACACCCCGGGAUGGUCUGCCUUCACCACCCGUGUUGUGUCGCUCAGCCUGCACCAUUCAGUUCAGAGGCAGACAUUUCUAUUGCCCUGCUUGCAUGUGAGGAAACGGGCUUAAAUCUCCGGCCUAAGGUCUCCCAGCUAGAAGGUGGCGGUGGUGGGAUUCACGCCAGAGCCUGUGUAUGGCCCCACCCUGCACUGCCGGCCCUGUUUCAGCACCUCUGGCUUCCUCUCGGUUCACUCUGGAGGAGGUGGGGUCUGUGACAAGAGACUGGAGGAGCCUUCCCACCUGUGACUCUGAUCCGGGCGGCCUGGCCGCGGAUCCUCAGGAAGGAGCUGUUGAGCAUCAGGGUGGAGGUGUUGCUCUGAAGGAGGACUGAAGAACGCGGCCAGAAUCCUCGGAGUCUGCAGGCCUCAGGGAGGGGCUCGGCCUGAAAGAGAGCACAGCCCAGGACCUCUGAGGCUGCAGCCAGGCCACCAGACCCCGCCGGGCAGUGGCUUCUGAGCUAGGGAGACCUUUCGGAUUUGUCUCCGAUGGAUGGACAGCAGCACCAGCUCUUUCCCCGAGGCCAGUGCCCCCAGCCCCCAACUCCUACUCCAUGGGCUGAGUGGACUGACCCACCCCCAGCUCAGUCCUGGGCCUGUGACACAGGUCUGGUCAGUCAAAGUGGGAAGACAUUUCUGUUUUUGCGAGGCUGCCAGUAUCCUCACCUUCUCCAGCGGGGUGUCAUCCAAAUACCAGCUGAACAUGGCUGCUGCAGACCUGUCCCCCAUGGUGACCCUCAGCAUAACGUCCCUGCUGGCAUCCACUGGCCCGCAGUUCUCCUCACAGCUGAAAGGGAGACAGAGAACAGAGCUGGGAAGAUCCUUAGUCUGAGGAGCCACCUUGCCUGGUCCAGUUCUCAAGUUAUUUGAGAAGAUAGUGCCUCUUCUGGUUGCCUGCCUUCAAGGCCACUGCUCCCCGCACCUCCCAUUUCCAUGGAAUUCACCACCUCUGGCACAUACAAGGCACACAAAAUGUCAAGCAUGAAUAAUCCUGGUGUGAAGGUUAAGAACAGCAAAAGCUGACCGCUGUCCAUCGCUUCGUGAUGAGAUGAGACAGUUCAGAGCUCUAAGACCACCUACCACAUGCCCACUGGAAGCAAGAAAGCUGGUCAGUGAGACACACUCCACAGUUGGCACCCCACCUUCCACCCCAGAGCAGUCUGUGCAAGAGAUGGCCACAGUGUAAAGUGUGGAAUGGGAUGGAUCACCAGGGCGUGGACUGCAGUUUCCCGAAACACAUUCUCCUCUAGAAAUGAUGGAAGAGAUCCAAGUACGCCUGCUCACUUCCAGUGAUUCUCCAUGGGGGUGAUUCUGCUCUCCAGGGCGCAGUUGGCAGUGGCUGGAGACGUUUGUAGUCGUCAUGAUUUGGUGCUACUGGCAUCUAGUGGGUCAAGGCCAGGGAUGCUGCUAAACAUCCUGUGAGGCACAGGACUGUCCCCACAACAAAGAAUUAUCCGGUCCCAAAUGUCAGGAGGGGGUUCCCUGGCUCCUGGGAAAGGUUGAGGGCAGGAGAAGGGGGUGGCAGAGAAUAAAUUGGUUGGAUGGCAUCACUGACUCAAUGGACGUGAGUUUGCAUAAUCUCCAGACAGUGAGGAUAGGGAAGCCUGGCGUGCUGCAGUCCAUGGGGUCACAGAGAGUCGGACAUGAUCAAGCAACUGAACAACAGGAUGUCAGAAGUGCCGGAGUUGAGAAUCCCUAUAACUACAAGCUCCAUGACUGAAGAUGGCCUCUGUGUCUUCCUUAUUUUGUGACCUCAGCUGGAUGCUGUGAACCACGUUUGUGUAUUGGACAUAUGGAGAAACUGGCUAAGAGGACCCUAGACACCAAGUUGGGAAGGGAAGAUGAGGGAGGUUUGGAAGGGGAGCCACACACCCCAAAUACCUUCAAGAGGAACCGCCACAUGACUCACCUCCAUCAAGCUCCACCUGAAUCCACAGAGGGUCCCCGAAGACUGCCCGGCAGAGAGGGCUGGCUCCUGACGUGGUCAUGCCAGAGCACCCAGUCACACGGAGCCUCUCUGUGUUGUCUUGAAUCGUCAC